AGUGAGCGCUGGCGGUAGGCCUAACACAUGCAAGUCGAACGGCAGCACAGUAAGAGCUUGCUCUUACGGGUGGCGAGUGGCGGACGGGUGAGGAAUACAUCGGAAUCUACUUUUUCGUGGGGGAUAACGUAGGGAAACUUACGCCAAUACCGCAUACGACCUACGGGUGAAAGCAGGGGAUCUUCGGACCUUGCGCGAUUGAAUGAGCCGAUGUCGGAUUAGCUAGUUGGCGGGGUAAAGGCCCACCAAGGCGACGAUCCGUAGCUGGUCUGAGAGGAUGAUCAGCCACACUGGAACUGAGACACGGUCCAGACUCCUACGGGAGGCAGCAGUGGGGAAUAUUGGACAAAGGGCGCAAGCCUGAUCCAGCCAUACCGCGUGGGUGAAGAAGGCCUUCGGGUUGUAAAGCCCUUUUGUUGGGAAAGAAAAGCAGCAGGUUAAUACCCCGCUGUUCUGACGGUACCCAAAGAAUAAGCACCGGCUAACUUCGUG
rnacentral:rRNA from 1 species